ensembl:lncRNA
CACAGUUGGAGACGAUGCCCUGCUAGAUGGGGGCUCGAAGCCUGUCCUUUCAAACACCGAAGGGGAUGAUGAUGCUACUCGUCCGAUAAUCACUAAACAGGGAACAACUGGUCCCCCACAGGGAACAUCCUCACAUCGAGAGCCCUGAAAUUCCACCAACCAAGAAGCGAAGACAACGGCCGUUGGUUGAAAUGCCGGAAGAAGUCGGCGCUAUGAGGCCUUCCUCACAAGCAGAGUCUCUUCCUCACAUCGAGAGCCCUGAAAUGCCACCACCCAAGAAACGCAGACAACGGCCUUUGGUGGAAAUGCCGGAAGAAGUCGGCGCUAUGAGGCCUUCCUCCCAAGGUAAAGCUGCAAAGAAGAAAAAACCCUGGCAGCCGACAGAGGUCCAGGCAGUCGAGAGGCACAUGACUCGCUUCAUCACCUCUUGCAUUGUACCUGGGAAGAGUGAUUGUGAGAAAUUUUUAAGGGUUGAACCAGAAGCACUACAGAACCGGGAUUGGCAGAACCUUAAAUUCUACAUUCAUAACCGAAUUAAGUCCUACAAAAAGAAGUGGCAAUGAAAAUAGUUUAUGCAUUGCAUGUAUAAUGUAUAAUAUUAUACAUUAUACAUGUAUAAUAAUUUUUAAUUAUUAUACAUGUAUAUAUAUCCACGUAAUUUAAACAUGAGUCUGAAAGAAGUUUAAUUAUUAUAGAUUUAAAUUUCAGGUAGUCGUUCAGUACUAUCAUUUUGCUCAGAAAGGCCAAAAAGGGCAUAAUUUUAAAAGAAUAUGCUGACGUUUCUACCUUGAUUCUGUAUUUCUAGAUGCUUUGUAUCCAACAAAUCUUGUUGAAGGGCCAAUAAAAGCCCAAAAAUGAGUGAGAC